rnacentral:rRNA from 1 species
AAACCAGCACCUCAAGUGGUCAGGAUGAUUAUUGGGCCUAAAGCAUCCGUAGCCUGCUCUGUAAGUUUUCGGUUAAAUCUGUAUGCUCAACAUACAGGCUGCCGGGAAUACUGCAGAGCUAGGGAGUGGGAGAGGUAGACGGUACUCGGGAGGAAGUGGUAAAAUGCUUUGAUCUCUCGAUGACCACCUGUGGCGAAGGCGGUCUACCAGAACACGUUCGACGGUGAGGGAUGAAAGCUGGGGGAGCAAACCGGAUUAGAAACCCCAGUAGUCC